GCACAACUGCCCACUUCAUUGACUAAUAAAAUAAGGCAACACACGGCAACAGAGAGGUGGGUAAAAGACGAAUAGACGGAUGGGAGUUUUUUGCAGAGAGUGCAUAAAACGGCAGAAGGGAGAGCAGAGAGAAGAAAAAUGGGGAGAAAACAGAAGGAGAGCAAAGAGCAGGAAAUAAAGGGGUGUCGCAGCUCCAAAUUUGAGGAGGAGAAGAAGAAGCAUGCUCCUCUCUUUGAGGAGAAGAUGAUCAGAGAGCUCAUCCUAUAAAAAAAGGUUGUUUUCUUUCUUUGUUUUUAAUGGAUAAUUCCUUAUGUAUUAAAACAAGUAUGUGUAACUAAUUUCCUUUUGCUAGAGUGAGGCCAUGAGUCUUAACAUGAUUACAUAGAUUUCUCUUUCAAUUGCUCAAGUGUUGUUACAUGCUUGCUUUGAUAUUUUCAAUCACUGAAUUAAACUAUAUAUGUGCCUUGAUGCUUUAUCACCAUUAGGAUGCUUAGCAAAGUCAUCGGAUGCAAUUUUGAACGAAUGUCACAUUAAAAUUGGUUAUGCUUCUUGUGACUGAGGAUUGUAAUUUCUCCUAAGGUAAAUAUCAUACUUUUAGGGAUUACAUGGUUUAACAAAAGGAUUUUCACCAAGAUUAAUGAAUCACUCAUGUCUAUAUUUAAUCCAAAUGUCAUGGAUAAAUUGCAUGUAAUGGUAUGCGUUUUAGCUUGAAUGUCACAAGUAAAACAUACACGAGGAAAACCCAACCUUCAAAGCAUGUGUGUUUUCGAUUACUUAAGCAAUUGGAAGAGCUACGUAGGAGUGCUGUUGGGAAAGGUUGAACUCUAGCGCCUUGUCAAUCUAAUUUUCUUCAAUUACUUGUAUUAUCUUGAGUUUCUAUAUUUACUUGUUUUGUUUAGUUGGAUCACUAUUCCUAUAAGCCAAUUCCCAUUUCAGAUAUUUGUUUAAGUCAUGUAUAGUAGUAUUUAGUUUCGUCGAAUUAGUUUAGUUCUUAGAGUUAACUAAGUUAAAUACACAAAACUCGUAAAUUGUUUAUAUCAGUCCUUGAGAAGAUCGACCUUACUUGAGCCAUUCUAUACUACAAACACUUGUUCUCCUGCAAGAAUGUUCUAUGGUUUAACCCUUGUUUUACAAGUGGUAAAAUCGCUAUCAGAGCCUAAUCGAGCUCAAGAUCAUCUUAAAUGUUUUCGAGGUAGGGAAUUCGUACUUGGAAUCUUAGUUAUAGUUAGAGACUCAAAGGUUUUAACUCUGGAAAACCUCUGUGCAAUUCUCCAGUUUUCCGAUGAAGAUGUCUAGUGAAGCUUUAUCAAAUCCAGGAUGGGUUCAACUCGAAAUCUUCAUGUUUUGGUAAGUUCUCUGAAGUUUUGGUUCCAAAAAAUGGUGAAACAACAAACCCAUUCCAAAUCAGUCCCAAAUCAACUCAUAUCAAGGAUUAGAUAAAUUUCUAAACCUUGUUGGACAAUUCUGUCAAAAUUUGGAUGAAGAAUCGAGCUGAUUUGAACUUUAGUUUGAGUUCUAAGUCUUUUCUAUAGCUUUGGCAAUGGUCAACGGCGUCGCCGUUAACUUUAAUGGUGACAAGCAGUGGCAUCCGUUAGACAUAACAUAAUCUUCAAUGGAAAUUAGAUAUAUUCCAUUAAACCUUAAACUAUAUCCGAAGACCGGCUCGUGGCCACGGGCAUGGUGACUACAGCUGUACUCGCAUGACGGCGUGCAACGGCGGCACGUCCACUUGCGUGUGACAGUGUGUGACACCACCACGGAGGUUUGUGGUAGCGUGUGGGGGGACCCAGACCUACUUUAGGUUUUUUGAUGUCCCGAAUCGCGUAGUGCAGUCCGUUUAGGCUAAUUCAAAGUUGUUAAUCACGUUUAGAUGAUAAAAUUUGUGAAAUGUUAUAAUACUUUUAGUAAAAGCUAAUUGUUAUUUUAUAGGUGCAAUUAUAAAGGUAACAAUUAUGGACAAAGGCACCUAUUAUGGAUUAUGCUCGCAUUAUCGAUGAGUGGACAUAUUGGUGACUUAUUUCCACCACUUGGUCAACAUGUGAUAUUUCGUAUAGCUAUGGUUGUAAAUUAUGUAUAGAUGUUAUAUUUCUUGUGGAGGCUAGAUUACUUAUUGAUACCGGUAGAGAACUCGGCUAGUAGACUAGCAUACCCUACAUGCUAUACUUAUGCUAGUAGAUGCUAGUGUGAUUAAUUGAAUACAUGUAUGAUUACUAAACUACUGGUAGAAUGAUUUUGGUUCAUGAAUUGGUUAUGAUUGAGGAGGGCAAUUGAGCGUAGCAGUAGUGCAGACUUCCUAUUAGUUGGAGAGUUUCACUUUUGCUUUGUCGAUAUCGAUUUAUAGUCAAUUGUACGAACUACUUUUGAUUAUAUAAAUGGCACAACACAAUUGAUAAGCUCAUAUUUAUAUAUAUUUUACAUAAAAUUCACUUGUCUUUUCUUAGUUAGUUCCUUAUAU
rnacentral:lncRNA from 1 species